ACACAGUGACAGAGUUAGGGAGGGAGUGACUAGUGACAGAGAGAGAGAUGGGGUGACUAGUGACAGUCACCCCCUCCCUCACUCUGUCUUCACUCCCUCCCUCUGUCACUAGUCACUCCCUCCCUCUGUCACUUGUCACUCC
rnacentral:miRNA from 1 species